AUGACCGAGUUACUGGAACACCUGAAGGCCACCUUCACAGUAGACAUUCUGCAAUACUCCAAUAGAAACAGCGAUUCUGAUGAAAUGACACCAAAGAUCUGGGGAUGUAAGCAAGCUGUUCUUAGUACAUGUUUGAAAAUUCAGGAAAAGCUUGAAAGGUUUGUUGGAAAAAUCUGCUGGUUAUGAUAUUUCUGCUCCACUCUGCUCCUCUCCUUUAUUCUGCAGUUCACCAAAAACAUAUUUAGCAUUUUGAGCUGUCACGGCCAUCAAUCUUUAAAUACUUCAAGCUCAUUCAAAAGAACUGCUUUUGAAAAUAAUAAUCAGAGUUGACAUCUGCAGUGCAAUGGCAUCUUAGUCUGUUUUGGAGAUCAGAGAGGCAAACUAGACACCUUUUUCCAGAUUAAGUCCUGGAAAGGUCCUAGUCCUCUGCUUAACAACUAAAUAUUGCCUUCAUGCUAAAGACAGUGGCACACAUAUACCUAUGUAUAGUUAUACAUGUACACCUGUAGAGGCAAAAAAUUCCUACAGCCACAGCAUAAUUUUUAAAAGACUCUAAUAUUUUGUUAAUCCUUAUGAUGGAAUAAGAGAGCAUGAGUCACAGCUUUCUGUAUCCAAAGCACUUCCAGAAACAAAAUCCACAAGUUGCACACUUUGAGCAGUCCUGGCAGGGAUCUCUGCACUGGAUGCCUUAAUGAAUGCCAGGUACAGAAUACAUACCCACAGCUGCUGUCCUUCCCAGCUAACAGCUUGUGCUGGAGCAGCAUCAAAGCUGGCUGCAGGCAUAACAAAUGUAUGCACCUGCACUGAGUAAUUACUGAGCCUAAUGCCAGUAUGGAUUAGCUUCAGUGCUCUUGUGAAAAAAGUAUGGAUUAGCUCACAGCAUUCAGCUUGUUACAGCUGUCUUACUGCACAUCCAGUUUUUAUGGGCACUUAUAAAGCAAUAUCCAUCUACGUCCUCUUUUGAUUUCUGAUGAUGGAGUCCUUCAGCUGUGACAUUGGAGUGUACUUCAAAGCUACCCCUUUGUCUGCUUUUCUCCCUCUUUUUUCUUUUUCCAUUUCAAACUCAGCAUUAAUUUGUAGGUUACUGCUUGUGUCCUGCGACCACACAUACACCUAAUGUCUAUUUCCAACUUUUAUAUAUAAUUUAUUUUUUAAUGUCUUUGUAUGAAUUUCUUCCUCAUCAUCUGGAACCAGUGGGAAGACUGGAUAUCCAUAAAAAAACAGUUUAGACAUUGCUUCUAAAAAUCAAAAUGGCUUUGACAACCUUUGCAGUGGGUACCCAUCUAAUGAGAACUCCAUUUAGACACUCCUGACUUUUGAUCAGUAUUUUCCUCUCCUGAAAUAAAUCUGGGAAUAUAGACA
rnacentral:lncRNA from 1 species